GCUGCAAUAGCUUAGUGGUAGAGCGUUAGGCUGAAAACCUAAAGGUUGAUGGUUCAAUUCCAUUUUGUAGCA
rnacentral:tRNA from 1 species